rnacentral:tRNA from 1 species
UAAUAAGAAUAUGCAGAAUAUUAUUAAAUUUUCGAAAUUUAAUAAUCCUCCUUAUAACUAUA